CCUACGGGGGGCAGCAGUAGGGAAUCUUUCACAAUGGGCGAAAGCCUGAUGGAGCAACGCCGCGUGCAGGAUGAAGGCCUUCGGGUUGUAAACUGCUUUUAUAAGCGAGAAAUAUGACGGUAACUUAUGAAUAAGGAUCGGCUAACUACGUGCCAGCAGCCGCGGUCAUACGUAGGAUCCGAGCAUUAUCCGGAGUGACUGGGUGUAAAGAGUUGCGUAGGUGGCAUAAUAAGUAGCUAGGGAAAUCUGGUGGCUCAACCAUUCAGACUAUUAGCUAAACUGUUAAGCUCGAGACCGUUAGAGGUAAGUGGAAUUUCUAGUGUAGGAGUGAAAUCCGUAGAUAUUAGGAGGAACACCAAUAGCGUAGGCAGGUUGCUGGGACGGUUCUGACACUAAGGCACGAAAGCGUAGGGAGCAAACGGGAUUAGAUACCCUUGUAGUC
rnacentral:rRNA from 1 species